rnacentral:lncRNA from 1 species
AUUUAAGAACACCCUCCUCCCGCUUUCGCUUUCGCGGAAAGGACAAGAGUGACUUGAAAUGUAGACGCGGAGGCCUAUGGGAAAUGUAGUUUUAAAUAGGUGAGGUUCACCGCCUGGACUCUGGGAAGGGGACGCCACGCUCCUUCUGCGCAUGUGCAGCCGUAGCCUCCUCGUUCGUCUUCUCAGGACUCCAGAGAACCGUUGGGGAACUUUGGGGUGUGCUCGGAAAAUGCAGGGUGCGCACCUAGGGCGAGGGACUAGCUGGGAAGGGUGUGCCUGUGCUUGGGGAUGGGAGCAGAAAGUGUCUGGGACCUCGUUGCCCCCCGCGGCGGUGUAUAAACCCGGGCAGGCCGUCAGAGCGGAUGCGCUGCUGUCACACAUGUCCACCACCACAUGUGACAUUAGUGACGUUAUCCUGACGUCACAGGAUCCAAGAAUGAUGAUCUGUGAAGAGUUUUCCGAGGUCACCUACUUCUAACUCUUUUGAAAGAUUUAAAGACAUUGGGCCUGAAAAUUUCAGUGUCUUGUCCAGGGAAACGCAGUUUGUGACAGUUCACUCUCUCACAGCUGAACCACAGUCCUCUGUACUCGCCCAGGAGCCACAGAAAGUGAACAUCCCUCAGGUGAGCUCUUUAUUCAUUCCCCAUUUUAUAUUGUAGUGGAUUUAUAAGGUUUAGCAGGAUCCAUGCAUUAAAGGAAAAGGAGAAGUAGAAAUAGUAGAAAUCAAGUCAGUCUUGAGGAAAAAUAUACCAUGUUUUACUAUUAAUUGUGAUGUUGGCUGUUAGCUUUGAGUGGGUAACUUUGUCAGGGUAAGUAGUUUCCCACUCAGCAACCUGUUUCAAUCUCUUUACUUGUGAUUGGGCUAUUCAGAUUCUCUGUUUCUUCUUGAUUCAGUUUUGGGAAGUUGUAUGAGUCUUAGAAUUUAUCUGUUUCUUUUAGAUUGUCCAGUUUGUUGCUAUAUAGUUUUUCAUUGUAUUCUCUUAUAAUCCUUUAUAUUUCUGUGGUAUGUGUUGUAAUUUCUCCUCUUUCAUUUCUAAUUUUAUUUAUUUGAGCCUUCUCUCUUUUUUUCUUAGAGAGUCAGGCUAAGGGUUUGUCAAUUUUGCAUAUGUUCUCAAAGAACCAGUUCUUGGUUUCACUGAUCUUUUCUACUAUUCUUUUUUCUUUUUUGGUUUCAAUUUCAUUUAUUUCUGCUCUGAUUUUUAUUAUUUCCCUCCUUCGGCUGACUUUGGGCUUUGUUGGUUCUUCAUUUUCUAACUGUAUUUUAAGAUUGCUUAUGUGAGAUCUUUCUUGUUUUUUAAGCUGGGCCUGUAUUGCUAUGAAUUUCCCUCAUAGGACCACUUUUUCUGCAUCCCAUAUGAGUUGGUGUGGUGUAUUUUCAUUUUCAUUUGUCUCCAGAUAUUUUUUGAUUUCUCUUUUAGUUUCUUCAAUGAUCCAUUGGUUGUUCAGUAGCAUGUUCUGUAGUCUCCACAUAUUUGUCACUUUCCCAGCUUUUUUCCUGUAGCUGAUUUCUAGUCUCAUAGCAUUUUGGUCAGAAAAGAUGCUUGAUGUGAUUUCAAUCUUCUUAAAUUUAUUCAGGCCUGUCUUGUUUCAAAACAUAUGGUCUGUCCUUUGAAUGCUCCAUGUGCACUUGAGAAGAAUGUGUAUUCUGCUAUUUGUGGAUAGAAUGUUCCAUAUAUAUCUAUUAAGUCCAUCUCGUCUAGUUUUUCAUUUAAUUCCACUAUUUCCUUGUUAACUUUCUGUCUGGAUGAUCUAUCCAUCGAUGUAAGUAGAGUGUUGGGGCCCCCUACUAUUAUUAUGUUGUUGUUAAUAUCUCUUUUUAGGUCUGUUAGUAGUUGCUUUAUGUACUUUGGUACUCCUUUGUUGGGUGCACGUAUAUUUAGAAGUGUUAGGUUUUCUUGUUGGAGUGUCCCUUUUAUCAUUAUAUACUGCCCCUCUUUGUCUCUCAUUGCCUUUUUUAUCUUGAAGUCUACUGUGUCUGAUGUAAGUAUUGCAAUAACUGCUUUCUUUUGUUUGCCAUUAGCUUAGAGUAUCAUCUUCCGUCCCUUCACUCUGAGCCUGUGUUUGUCUUUAGAGCUAAGAGUGUUUCCUGAAGGCAGUAUAUUGAUGAGUCUUAUCAAUCCAUCC